UACCAUUUUAGCUUUGCUUUUGCAAUGUAUGUUUAGCCUUCCUUUUCCUGUAGUGCAGUGAUAUUUUUCAGCUUGUGCAUGCCAUGAUAUGCUGCUUCAUUCGUUUAGGGUAUUCGUUUUACUUGCUUUGUUUAUUCGGGAAUGUCAACCAGGUCGCGGAUGGAGUUUCUGUGAAGACGAAGCUUGCAAUGGCGCUGUCUCGAUAUUUCCAUGGUGGCACG
rnacentral:sRNA from 1 species